rnacentral:rRNA from 1 species
AACGAACGCUGGCGGCAGGCCUAACACAUGCAAGUCGAGCGAGGACUUCGGUCCUAGCGGCGGACGGGUGAGUAACGCGUGGGAACGUGCCCUUUGCUUCGGAAUAGCCCUGGGAAACUGGGAGUAAUACCGGAUGAGCCCUUUGGGGGAAAGAUUUAUCGGCGAAGGAUCGGCCCGCGUUGGAUUAGGUAGUUGGUGGGGUAAUGGCCUACCAAGCCGACGAUCCAUAGCUGGUUUGAGAGGAUGAUCAGCCACACUGGGACUGAGACACGGCCCAGACUCCUACGGGAGGCAGCAGUGGGGAAUCUUAGACAAUGGGGGAAACCCUGAUCUAGCCAUGCCGCGUGAGCGAUGAAGGCCUUAGGGUUGUAAAGCUCUUUCAGCUGGGAAGAUAAUGACGGUACCAGCAGAAGAAGCCCCGGCUAACUCC